UACGGGGGGUGCAAGCGUUAUCCGGAAUCAUUGGGCGUAAAGCGCCUGUAGGUUGUUUAGUAAGUCCGUUGUUAAAGACUAGGGCUCAACCCUAGAAAAGCGAUGGAAACUACUAGACUAGAGUAUGGCAGGGGUAGAGGGAAUUUCUAGUGUAGCGGUGAAAUGCGUAGAUAUUAGAAAGAACACCGGUGGCGAAAGCGCUCUACUGGACCAUUACUGACACUCAGAGGCGAAAGCUAGGGUAGCAAAAGGGAUUAGAUACCCCUGUAGUCCUAGCCGUAAACGAUGUAUACUGGAUGUUGUGCUAUGUACAGUAUCGUAGCUAACGCGUUAAGUAUCCCGCCUGGGGAGUACGAUCGCAAGGGUG
rnacentral:rRNA from 1 species